rnacentral:rRNA from 1 species
UAAGACGUAGGGCGCGAGCGUUGUCCGGAUUUAUUGGGCGUAAAGAGCUCGUAGGCGGCUUGUCGCGUCGGCUGUGAAAUCCCGUGGCUCAACUGCGGGUCUGCAGCCGAUACGGGCAGGCUAGAGUUCGGUAGGGGAGACUGGAAUUCCUGGUGUAGCGGUGAAAUGCGCAGAUAUCAGGAGGAACACCGAUGGCGAAGGCAGGUCUCUGGGCCGAUACUG